UGCAAUCUUGCUGUGGAAAUCUAUGACUGCCUCUCUGUUCUCCUGGCCCGGCCAUCCUGCCCAGCUUUCCAGAUCUACCCCCAAGCACUGACCGAUUUCCAGCCCAGGACUCCAACCGCCAGACGAGUGACCCUGGACCCUUCACCAUCCUUCUUUGGGGAACACACACACACACAAACACAGCACCCGGACAGUUCACUGGAACUCCCUUACCCCCGAAUCCCUUAAAUAAAGCAAUCUGAACUUGAACUUGCGCUAUUGGGUCCUCGUCUGUCCAGGUUUCUGACAAGUAUUUAGGUAAUAUUACUAGAAAUUGUGUUCCCUUCAAUACGCAAACAAGCAAACUCUUGAGCAAACUGACUGAAUGUGAUAUGUUUUUGUGUGUGUGCUCCCACCCACUUAUCCAUUACAAAACCAACACAAACCCACAGGCUAUCCUGGCUUAUGGCUUUUUACAGUGAACAGUCUGGAACACUCAUUCCAAGAAUAAACCAGCUUGUGAACUCACAUUUAUAACAAAGCUUAUCGUCAACAAUGCAAUAAGUGACAGUGGUGGGCUCAUACAACCACAGUGGAACAGAAUAUGUGUGUGUGUGGGGGGGGGGAUGCGUGUGUGCGUGUGUGUGCGUGU